GACGAACGCUGGCGGCGUGCUUAACACAUGCAAUUCGAACGGAAAGGCCCUGCUUUUGUGGGGUGCUCGAGUGGCGAACGGGUGUGUAACACGUGAGUAACCUGCCCUUGACUUUGGGUUAACUUCAGGAAACUGGGGCUAAUACCGGAUUGGAGCUCCUGCUGCAUGGUGGGGGUUGGAAAGUUUCGGCGGUUGGGGAUGGACUCGCGGCUUAUCAGCUUGUUGGUGGGGUAGUGGCUUACCAAGGCUUUGACGGGUAGCCGGCCUGAGAGGGUGACCGGCCACAUUGGGACUGAGGUACGGACCAGACUCCUACGGGAGGCAGCAGUGGGGAAUAUUGCACAAUGGGCGGAAGCCUGAUGCAGAAACGCCGCGUGCGGGAUGACGGCCUUCGAGUUAUAAACCGCUUUCGCCUGUGACGAAGCGUGAGUGACGGUAAUGGGUAAAGAAGCACCGGCUAACUACGUG
rnacentral:rRNA from 1 species